UGUUUGUCUCACUGUGUUCCUGUGAUGGACUUGCAACCUGUCCAGGGUGUACCCCGCCCCUCGCACUGUGGCUGCUGGAGAUGACCCCUGUGACUCAAAAAGGAAGAAGCAGGUUCUGUGUCUUAGCUGUUCCUGCCGUUCUGUUGAACCACUCUUCUAAUCUGAGAGGUCACAGUCUGCAGUGCUCCAAACCACCGACUGCAUGAGGUGGCAGCACACUGAUGCAUGCUGCUCAACAUGCUUCACAUUCAAAACAGCAGGAGUUCAUGGGUCAGGACCUAUCAGUCAGAAUGUAAACAUCACUUCAUCACCACAGCCAUCGGGUUGUCAUGGAAACCGCUGAGAGACACACGUCCAGGGUGAGAGAUGGAGGAUGGUGGGGGGUGGGGGGCAACGAGGGACACAGAAAGAAAGAGGGGGAGACAUGAAAGGUUAGGGUGUUACCAUAUCCCCCCGCCAUCAGCACCAUCAGCACCACCUCCCAGUUUWAAAGCUGAGCCCCCAGCCCCGGUCCAGGCGGCCCCCCUAUCACCCCGCCUUUCACCUUCCCCUGCCUUCAGCUCUCCAUCCCUCCCUCUUGUCCAGACAGGCUGCUCGCGUGGCGGGGAUGGAGACGUUCACCGAUGGAAGCACUGGUAACAAUAAUACUAAUAAUAAACAAGAAGCCUUCUCUUCCUGCUCA